rnacentral:rRNA from 1 species
AUUGAACGCUGGCGGAAUGCUUUACACAUGCAAGUCGAACGGCAGCACGGACUUCGGUCUGGUGGCGAGUGGCGAACGGGUGAGUAAUGUAUCGGAACGUGCCCAGUCGUGGGGGAUAACGUAGUGAAAAUUACGCUAAUACCGCAUACGAUCUAUGGAUGAAAGCGGGGGAUCGCAAGACCUCGCGCGAUUGGAGCGGCCGAUAUCAGAUUAGGUAGUUGGUGGGGUAAAGGCCCACCAAGCCAACGAUCUGUAGCUGGUCUGAGAGGACGACCAGCCACACUGUAACUGAGACACGGUCCAGACUCCUACGGGAGGCAGCAGUGGGGAAUUUUGGACAAUGGGCGAAAGCCUGAUCCAGCCAUUCCGCGUGCAGGAUGAAGGCCCUCGAGUUGUAAACUGCUUUUGUACAGAACGAAAAGGUUUCUACUAAUACUAGGAGCUCAUGACGGUACUGUAAGAAUAAGCACCGGCUAACUACGUGCCAGCAGCCGCAGUAA